rnacentral:rRNA from 1 species
AGAGUUUGAUCAUGGCUCAGAUUAAACGCUGGCGGCAUGCCUUACACAUGCAAGUCGAACGGCAGCACGGGGGGAACCCUGGUGGCGAGUGGCGAACGGGUGAGUAAAGCAUCGGAACGUGCCCUGGAGUGGGGGAUAACGUAGCGAAAGUUACGCUAAUACCGCAUAUUCUGUGAGCAGGAAAGCAGGGGAUCGCAAGACCUUGCGCUCUGGGAGCGGCCGAUGUCGGAUUAGCUAGUUGGUGGGGUAAAGGCCUACCAAGGCGACGAUCCGUAGCGGGUCUGAGAGGAUGAUCCGCCACACUGGGACUGAGACACGGCCCAGACUCCUACGGGAGGCAGCAGUGGGGAAUUUUGGACAAUGGGCGAAAGCCUGAUCCAGCCAUGCCGCGUGAGUGAAGAAGGCCUUCGGGUUGUAAAGCUCUUUCGGUGGGGAAGAAAUUGCACGGGUUAAUAGCCUGUGUAGAUGACGGUACCUGGAGAAGAAGCACCGGCUAACUACGUG